GAUGAACGCUGGCGGCGUGCCUAACACAUGCAAGUCGAACGAAGCUUGACGGAUGAUUUCUUCGGAAUGAAACCAGAUAUGACUUAGUGGCGGACGGGUGAGUAACACGUGAGCAACCUGCCUUUCAGAGGGGGAUAACGGCUGGAAACGGUCGCUAAUACCGCAUGAUGUGUUCGGAUGGCAUCAUCUGAACAUCAAAGAUUUAUCGCUGAAAGAUGGGCUCGCGUCUGAUUAGAUAGUUGGGGGGGUAACGGCCUACCAAGUCUACGAUCAGUAGCCGGACUGAGAGGUUGAACGGCCACAUUGGGACUGAGAUACGGCCCAGACUCCUACGGGAGGCAGCAGUGGGGAAUAUUGCACAAUGGGGGAAACCCUGAUGCAGCAACGCCGCGUGAAGGAUGACGGUUUUCGGAUUGUAAACUUCUUUUCUUAGUGACGAAGACAGUGACGGUAGCUAAGGAAUAAGCAGCGGCUAACUACGUG
rnacentral:rRNA from 1 species